rnacentral:rRNA from 1 species
GCGACCGGCGCACGGGUGAGUAACACGUAUCCAACCUACCCUUUACUCGGGGAUAGCCUUUCGAAAGAAAGAUUAAUACCCGAUAGUAUGUUUUUACCGCAUGGUAAAAACCAUUAAAGAAUUCGGUAAUGGAUGGGGAUGCGUUUCAUUAGAUAGUUGGUGAGGUAACGGCUCACCAAGUCUUCGAUGAAUAGGGGUUCUGAGAGGAAGGUCCCCCACACUGGUACUGAGACACGGACCAG